rnacentral:rRNA from 1 species
AAUGAACGUUGGCGGCGUGGAUUAGGCAUGCAAGUCGCGCGAGAAGUCAUUUAGCUUGCUAAAAGACGGACAGCGGCGGAAGGGAGAGUAACGCGUGGUUAUGUACCCUCGAGACCGGGAUAGUGUCGGGAAACUGGCAGUAAUACCGGAUAACAUCUUCGGAUCAAAUGGUGUGAUUCCGCUCGAGGAUCGGACCGCGUACUAUUAGCUAGUUGGAGGGGUAAUGGCCCACCAAGGCUUAGAUGGUUACCGGGUGUGAGAGCAUGGCCCGGCUCACUGGGACUGAGACACUGCCCAGACAUCUACGGAUGGCUGCAGUCGAGAAUCUUCGGCAAUGGACGAAAGUCUGACCGAGCGACGCCGCGUGCGGGAUGAAGGCCUUCGGGUUGUAAACCGCUGUCAGUUAGGAGGAAAUCCAUGAGGGUUCUCUCUCAUGGUUGACCGAUUUUCAGAGGAAGGACGGGCUAAGUCCGUGCCAGCAGCCGCCGUAAGAC